rnacentral:rRNA from 1 species
GGGCGACUGAAAGGGGAUGAGCCCAGCGCAUAACCUUGCGGUCUUAUUGUGGCCGUUGAGGGGUGUUGCGUUUCGGUGGAUCCGUACCGCUCGAGUUGCUGACCGCCUAAGUCAUUGCUUGAAUGCAGCCCCAAGGAGGGUGGUAGGCCCGUGUGGCGGCGCCUGUAAAAAGGUUGGAAGCAAUUUGAGCGGAGGGAUUUGAACCGUAGAGUCGGGUUGCUUAGUACUGCAGCCCUAAGUAGGUGGUAAACUCCAUCUAAGGCUAAAUACUACCACGAGUCCGAUAUUUGACAAGUACCGUGAGGGAAAGCUGAAAAGGACUCUGAAGAGAGAGUUCAAGAGGACGUGAAACCAUUAGAAGCUGAAACGGGUGGAACCGUGAAGGUGGAAAGAGGGGAUUCAGGCUGUGGACAUUGGCAUUGGCUUGAGGUUUUGUACAGUGAAUAGACCCGGCGUACGAGUGAGUUGCCGGUGCACUUCUUGCCAUUUGUUAGUGUGGGCAGGCUUAGUUCUCCCUCGAGUACUAGACGUGGCGACCCGCUCAUCGGACCCCAAGGACCCUUUAGGAUUGGUAGCCUAGACCUUUGGUUUGGGUGAUGACCUUUUGGGAUACUGAGUGGGUUUGAUGGGCGGUCACUGUGAGGAAGGAC